rnacentral:rRNA from 1 species
GACGAACCGUGCGAACGUUGUUCGGAAUCACUGGGCUUAAAGGGCGCGUAGGCGGAUGACCAAGUCAGGGGUGAAAGCCCGCAGCUUAACUGCGGAAGUGCCUUUGAUACUGGUUGUCUCGAGGGAGAUAGGGGCAUGUGGAACUUCCGGUGGAGCGGUGAAAUGCGUAGAUAUCGGAAGGAACGCCGGUGGCGAAAGCGACGUGCUGGAUCUCUUCUGACGCUGAGGCGCGAAAGCUAGGGGAGCAAACGGG